rnacentral:rRNA from 1 species
CCUACGGGUGGCUGCAGUGAGGAAUAUUGGUCAAUGGACGCAAGUCUGAACCAGCCAUGCCGCGUGAAGGAAGACGGCUCUAUGAGUUGUAAACUGCUUUUGUACGAGGGUAAACGCCGAUACGCGUAUCUGUCUGAAUGUACCUUACGAAUAAGGAUCGGCUAACUCCGUUCCAGCAGCCGCGGUAAUACGGAGGAUUCAAGCGUUAUCCGGAUUUAUUGGGUUUAAAGGGUGCGUAGGCGGUCGGUUAAGUUAGAGGUGAAAUCCCGGGGCUCAACUUCGGAAUUGCCUUUGAUCCUGUCCGGCUAGAGAGUAGUUGAGGUAGGCGGAAUGUAUGGUGUAGCGGUGAAAUGCUUAGAGAU